rnacentral:rRNA from 1 species
GGAUAGAGGCCUACCAUGGUGGUAACGGGUAACGGGGUGUUAGGGCACGACACCGGAGAGGGAGCCUGAGAAACGGCUACCACAUCCAAGGAUGGCAGCAGGCGCGCAAAUUACCCAAUCCCGACACGGGGAGGUAGUGACAAUAAAUAACAAUACGGGGUCCUUUCGGGUUUCGUAAUUGGAAUGAGUACAAUUUAAAUCUCUUAACGAGGAACAAUUGGAGGGCAAGUCUGGUGCCAGCAGCCGCGGUAAUUCCAGCUCCAAUAGCGUAUAUUAAAGUUGUUGCAGUUAAAAAGCUCGUAGUUGAAUUUCGGGAUUAGUACGUUGGUCGUGCCUUAGGUACGUACUGGUGUUACUGGUUCCUACCUUCUGACGAACCAUCAUGUCAUUAAUUUGGUGUGGCGGGGAAUCAGGACUGUUACUUUGAAAAAAUUAGAGUGUUUAAAGCAGGCUCGCGCUUGAAUACAUUAGCAUGGAAUAAUGAAAUAGGACGUUGACCCUAUUUUGUUGGUUUCUAGGAUUGACGUAAUGAUUAAUAGGGAUAGUUGGGGGCAUUAGUAUUCAAUUGUCAGAGGUGAAAUUCUUGGAUUUAUUGAAGACUAACUACUGCGAAAGCAUUUGCCAAGGAUGUUUUCAUUGAUCAAGAACGAAAGUUAGGGGAUCGAAGACGAUCAGAUACCGUCGUAGUCUUAACCAUAAACUAUGCCGACUAGGGAUCGGAUGAUGUUAUUUUUAAUGACUCAUUCGGCGCC